rnacentral:lncRNA from 1 species
AUCCAACAUUAUUUCAUUCAAAUUAGGAAAACUCCCAGGUUUACAUAACACAAAAAGAAAAUAUCUCCCAGGUUUACAUAACACAAAAAAUCAUCUCAGGAAUACAUUUCCUUACACAGGAAUAUACAAUAAGAAAAUGAUGGCACAUCUGCUACUAUCAUAACAGCACAAUGUACUUUUUUUAACGGAACAGUACAAUGGAUUUCAUUUCUCUCUCUUAUGCGACAUGCUCCAGCUGCCACAACUUGCCAUCCUACAAUGAGAGAGAUAUAACAUUAGUGGAGCAAACUGUUGUCCAGGCACAUUAGUUUUAUGAGAAAACUGAUCCAUGAAGCAAGACCAGAACACAUUCUGCACAACUUUUGAUAACACAAUUUGGAUUAAACAACAGAUUAUGCUUAGCUAACUUAGAAACAAGUACUGCCUAUGAUGCAUGUCUAUCUAUGUGCAUUGCAUUUUACUUUGUUCAAAAGUAGAAGCUAUAUGUCCAUUUUUCCAGGUUUGAAGCUACAAAUCUAAAAGAUAAAGUAUAAGUUAACUGAAUUGUGUUUUUUUAGAUAAUAACUGAAUAGUGCACAGUAGAACCAAUGUUUCAUAAUAAACAACUAGUGUUUGUGAUGAAAACUUGACGUUACAAUAAAACCACUGGCAAGGCUUUUUUGAGCCUAAAUAAAGGAUACUGCCUAUUGAAUUCUACAACAAACAGGUCAACUUCUGCAGUUCUAGAAUUUCCACGAAAUAUGUUCUAGUAUGCCUAAAUAUUCAUCAACUCUUGUCAUCGUAUGAAAAUAAAACCAGUGAACAGCACACCGUAUUUGGAUGCUAUCUAUACUAGUAUGGAAUGAUGCCAGGUAAGACGAUCUCAGCGAGGUGCACAGUUGUUUAGAAAGGAAAGCAGAUUUGACUGAAGUACCAAUUUUCAGAGUUUGCAUAGCACCAUAAACAGGCAACUGUAAAUUACUAAAUGUUGCCACACUAGAAUGUUAUCCAGAAAGAAUGAUACGAGGCAGGCGGCGUCCAUUACCGACGAUCUCGCCGAGGUGCAUGGAGAUGGAGUUGAGCUGGGCCAGAGGUCUUCCAGGCAUAUGUUGUUCACCUGAUCACCACCUCC